GAUGAACGCUGGCGGCGUGCCUCAAACAUGCAAGUCGAGCGGGGCUAUGUAAUAUCGCAAGGUAGAACAUAGCCUAGCGGCGAACGGGUGAGUAACACGUGGGUAACCUGCCUGGAAGACAGGGAUAACGAUUCGAAAGGGUCGCUAAUACCUGAUAAUAUCCUUUCAUCGCAUGGUGAUAGGAAGAAAGGGGAAACCCGCUUUCAGAUGGGCCCGCGUCCCAUCAGCUAGUUGGUAAGGUAAAGGCUUACCAAGGCGACGACGGGUAGCCGGUCUGAGAGGAUGUACGGCCACACUGGGGACUGAGAUACGGCCCAGACUCCUACGGGAGGCAGCAGUUGGGAAUCUUAGGCAAUGGACGAAAGUCUGACCUAGCGACGCCGCGUGAGGGAAGAAGGCCUUCGGGUUGUAAACCUCUGUCAUGGGGAAGAAGUAAGUGACGGUACCCCAAGAGGAAGCCCUGCUAACUACGUGCCAGCACGCCGCGGUAAUAGUACUCUAU
rnacentral:rRNA from 1 species